AGCGAACGCUGGCGGCAGGCUUAACACAUGCAAGUCGAGCGCCCCGCAAGGGGAGCGGCAGACGGGAGAGUAACACGUGGGAACGUACCUUUCAGUACGGAACAACCAAGGGAAACUUUGGCUAAUACCGUAUACGCCCGUAAGGGGAAAGAUUUAUCGCUGAAAGAUCGGCCCGCGUCUGAUUAGCUUGUUGGUGAGGUAAUGGCUCACCAAGGCGACGAUCAGUAGCUGGUCUGAGAGGAUGAUCAGCCUCACUGGGACUGAGACACGGCCCAGACUCCUACGGGAGGCAGCAGUGGGGAAUAUUGGACAAUGGGCGAAAGCCUGAUCCAGCCAUGCCGCGUGAGUGAUGAAGGCCUUAGGGUUGUAAAGCUCUUUCGUUGGGGAAGAUAAUGACGGUACCCAAAGAAGAAGCCCUGGCUAACUUCGUGCCAGCCGCCGCGGUAAUAC
rnacentral:rRNA from 1 species